CCUAAUGCAUCCCUAACGAUUAGGAACCAAAUGAUUCGACUCAACCAUUGAUGCGACUUCAAGACAAAGACGAAACAUCGAGAAAAUUGGUAAGACCAAUCAGAACAACAACCCCGAUCAUCCAUUUUCUGCCACCAUGAAACACCACUGAGUCGAUUUUCUCUUUUGUGGCCGCCUUUUACAUCUCAAGACGAAUAACAUGCCACAUAAACCUUUUUUCUCUAUGAGGUGCAACAUUCAACUUCACCCUCUAUUGAUUUCUUUUUUUCGAUAACAACCAAUUGAUUUGAGGUUAGAUAGGUUUUUUUGUAACAAUGAAUUAUGGAGUACAGAAUGGUUAAAUUGGACACUGAAACCAAAAAAAAUUACAGGUCAGGUGAAAGAAAGUAUGUUGAUGUCCGUUGGAUUAAGCCUUUUCAACAUUGUAUUUAUCCAUGGUUUCUUGACAAAGCUUCAAUUUCUGAAUCAUGAAUCGGAAGUGGCAAAAAGUGAUUAAUUUACCGAUAUUGCGUUUCACUAUUUACCGAUUGGAGUAGACGUAACUCAAGCCUCAAGCCCAAAUGGUAAAUCGAAGUAUUCAAUAAAUUAGGGUUUGAUUUCGUGGGUAUGUUUUAUAUUUUGAAGGCUUCUUUGUACAUUUUACUAUCUUUUUACAAAAUUCUAUUGCAGUCUGAACAUUAUAGCGUCACUAUCUUCUCACCAUUGAUUUUACAGCAGCAAUAAGAGUUUUUUUGGACUGUUAAGCAUUUCCUUGAUGAACAUUGUGAUGAAACAGUGACAUAUCAAUGCUUAAUUCAUUACAUGUAAAGCUCCAACACAUUUUUUUUUCGUUCACUGAUCAUUUUGACAGAAAUGAUACAUAGCUUGGACUUAAAAAAUUGGCACAUGUAUCUUUCAAAUGGUUGGGACAUCUUUAUCAGGAAUGACAAUAGAUCCUAAAUCCAUGAGUUACUACUUUCGUAGAAAAGUUCAUUGAUGUUUUCUGAUUGCAGGUUUAGGGGGAAUCGGUUAUGGUUUUUUGGAAGAUUAAACAUGCCCAAAUUGCCCUUCACUUUAUAGUGAAAGUGAAGCACAGUUUAAUACAUAUAAUCCUCUUUUUAUCUAAUUUUUUAUUUCUCCAUAUUAUUUACUUCACAAAUUUUACUUACAAGUUGCAACCAAUCAAAUUUUCUUUAUAAUAAGAGCAAAAUACAAAUUUGGUCUC